GUUUCUGCCAUGGAUGUUUCCGUCCACUUUCCUUCACUAAUAUAUAGAAUAUUCAUCUUUUUGUAUAAAUACAGAUUUCCUUGGGUCAAAGCAGCCGCAAUUUCUGUUACAAACCACACAAACUGCCAAAAUCCAGGGCAGACAGAAAGCUAACCAAAAUCACCAAAAUAAAAUACAAUAAUUCAAGUGUUGGCUGGUGUUUGUGGGACUGAUAUAAUAAAUAGCUCUGAAUACCAUUAUAGAAUCUGUUUUGGUUCAUUUUCAGAAAUUGAUCGUUCUGAAUCAGAAUUAUUAGGCGGCUACCAAGAAGCCUCUGCCCGGCAUGCAAUUAUUCCUAGUUCAAAACAUUAACAUAUCAGUGGUCCAACAGUCUCUGCCAAGGAGCUAAUCUGCCACUUCCAUUACCUCUGAAGAUUAUUUCAACAAUUAUUAUACGUGGCAUAAACCGAGAAGCAUGUCUGUUGUUUUAAAUAUCGUUAACAACUCGAGGUAAAUGUUUUUUUUUUUUUUUUUAAUUUUUAUUUACAAAGAAGUACCUCUCACAAUCUUAAAGCUCUAGGUCUAGCUAUUGUUAACAUGUCUUCUUGCAUAAGUCAGUCGACUUCAAUAGAAGAAACAUGAUCACGUGGUUAGACUCGUCCCUUUCAUAGGCCCAAUCAGCUAUAUAAUCCGCACAAAAAUCCCCUCUAUGGAUAUGAUGAAUUCUGCAAUCUCAGUUUCUGUUAAUCAACUGUUGGCAUUGGUAAAUAACAUGGUAUAGCGGGUCAAUCUUGAUCACAUUACCAUGAGUCAGAUUCAUUAGUCUCUGAAAACCUCGAUCCCAUGCUAAGUCAGUCCCAUGUAAAGGGUAUAUGGUUCUGCUCUAAGAAUCGAUCCCUCGUAUCAAUUUUUUUGGCGAAGCCAAACACCUAGUACCCAUUACAAUCCCUUGCAAUACCUCCUAUAGCCAACUCUCCUAGAUUUGAAGAUGUAGCACCAUCCACAUUAAUUUAAUAAAAGCAGCUGGGAGAGUUCCAAGCAAUAAGAAAAAUCUGUUUAAAAGUAGUAAAACUUUGAGAAUCACAAAAACUAAGAAACUCCCUAGCUCUGGCCAAAACAAUAUUAGCAGCACAAUUUGGCCAAGAAAAUCCCUUUUCAAAACAACAUUUGUUUCUCCAUUUCCAAACAUACCAACAACCAAAAGCAAACAUAACAGACCAAAGUAACUCCUCAACUAAAACAUUCUUUCUGAUAAAAUUAAACUUAAUCCAAUCUUGCAAAGUCAAAGAAUUAAAGUGAUCCAAGGUCGAAUCUCGAAGCCAACAAGACCACAACAUACUUGAAUCUCUGCAAUCCCUUAGCAUAUGUAAAGCCGAUUCAACUGGAUUUUCACAUCUAGGACACAUAGUUGAAUUAGAAAUUACUUUAGUCACACAAGCCUCUCUUGUAAGUAUUCUGUUAUGCAUCACUAACCAAAUAAAGAACUUGAUUCGAGGUAGCAAAUCCAACCCCCAAAUCUUCAUCCAUCAAUUUUUGUCCAAAGAAAUAACUUUUGUUCGGAAUUUUGACUUGCACAAUUAAGACCCGUUUAAACUUUUUAAUUAGAUCUUAAUAGGAGCCCAAAAUCAAUUUUAAGAGUACAAUUUAAAUUAAAACUUUCGUUAAUUAAAUAAAUAAUACAAAAAAGUAACAAAAAAACAAAGUUUGUCAGACAGCCUAUUCACACUAUUUUUCUUCCCUCCCUGCUGCUUCCUAGAAUGAUCUCAGAGUCUUAUAAAAACCAAACAAAUGAAUCAAACAAGGGGGAGGCGAAUUUUGAGGCUAAUUCUUUGAAAACAAAGAAAAAAAAAAAAAAGCCCAUGGCCGCACCCUUGUAAACCACUAGAAGCCCCACCACACAGCUUCCACCAUCAACCUGCACUGCCAAAUCUCCAAAAAUCAACAAUUUCUCAAACAAAAAUUCCCUUGCUUUUUACCAAAAAUCAAAACAAACAAAAAAACACAGCCCUCACCAAUCGGAGAGGAACCCAGAAGAAGCAAUAAAAAAAAUCAAUCAAAAAAUUUUGGUGAACCGUUUGGGGGUGAACGGUUGAAGCCAAAAAAAAACAAAAAGAGAGACCCGUUUGGCGUGGAAGGGAAGGAGGAAAAAGGAAG